GAUGAACGCUGGCGGCGUGCCUAACACAUGCAAGUCGAACGGAGUAUUAUGAAGUCUUCGGACGGAUUAAUACUUAGUGGCGGACGGGUGAGUAACGCGUGGGUAACCUGCCUCAUACAGGGGGAUAACAGCUGGAAACGGCUGCUAAAACCGCAUACGCAUACACUGUUGCAUGACAGAGUGUGAAAAUAUUUAUAGGUAUGAGAUGGGCCCGCGUCUGAUUAGCUAGUUGGUGAGGUAAUGGCUCACCAAGGCGACGAUCAGUAGCCGGCUUGAGAGAGUGACCGGCCACAUUGGGACUGAGACACGGCCCAAACUCCUACGGGAGGCAGCAGUGGGGAAUAUUGCACAAUGGGGGAAACCCUGAUGCAGCGACGCCGCGUGAGUGAAGAAGUAUUUCGGUAUGUAAAGCUCUAUCAGCAGGGAAGAAAAUGACGGUACCUGACUAAGAAGCCCCGGCUAACUACGUGCCAGCAGCCGCCGUAAUAC
rnacentral:rRNA from 1 species